rnacentral:rRNA from 1 species
GGAAGACUCUCGGCAACGGAUAUCUCGGCUCUUGCAUCGAUGAAGAACGUAGCGAAAUGCGAUACUUGGUGUGAAUUGCAGAAUCCCGUGAACCAUCGAGUCUUUGAACGCAAGUUGCGCCCGAAGCCAUUAGGCCGAGGGCACGCCUGCCUGGGUGUUGCACAUCGUUGCCCU